GGGGCUCCAGAAGUGCGUGCCCCGGGGCGCUCACCCGGCCCGGCAAUUGUGGGGAGAAGAGAAUAGAGGAGUGAAGAAGGGUGCAUUUUCCAUCUCACCUCAGUCCUCGGCUAGGAAAACCACGUAGCCCUGACCAGUGGGCUCAAGGCCCUGCUGGAAACUGGUUCUGAGUGUAUAUGUCUCAGCUUGAGAUGAGAAAAUGAGAACAAGUAACAAGCAUAUUUUUCAACUGUAAGCCAGGCCAGAGUUGUGGAGAAGAGGGAGAAGAGCAAGACAGGGGGUCUUUUCUAAAGUGCAGGUUAGGGGCUUCCCUGGUGGCGCAGUGGUUAAGAAUCUGUCUGCCAAUGCAGGGGACACGGGUUCGAGCCCUGGUCUGGGAAGAUCUCACAUGCCAUGGAGCAACUAAGCCCGUGCGCCACAACUACUGAGCCUGCGCUCUAGAGCCUGCGAGCCACAACUAAUGAGCCUGUAUGCCACAACUAGUGAAGCCCACGGACCUAGAGCCCGUGCUCCGCAACAAGAGAAGCCACCGCAAUGAGAAGCCCGCACACUGCAACGAAGACCCAACACAGCCCAAAAUACAAAAAACAAGUAAAAUUGGUUUUCAAAUCUGCUAAUUGGUGAAAAGAGAUCCACUUCUCUCUCAAGUUACAGAAGCAGAAAUUCAACUGGUCCUUAUUAAUGAAAGAUCUUCAGUGAAGGUUGAAAGCCCUUCAGAUCAAUCAUACCAGACUUUGAGCUCCUCUGGCCUCUGUGGUUCUGUCAUCUGUGCUCAUGGUUCACAGGUGUGCAGGACAGCUAUGUCCAGGACUAACCGAGGACAAAAAUGGUUACUUAACCACCCAGGUGAAAUAUCCUUUCUAUGGAAGAUUAAAAAUCCCAGAAAGUCUGUGGGACUGGCUUUUGGAGUAUAGCUAUGAGUAAAAUAUUCUCUAGAUUUUCCCAAUGUAUUGUGAUUCAAUUUAUCAGAUAAAUGAGUUGUUGGAGGACUUUCAUUUAAAUUGACAAAUUUUCCUCCAGUAUAAAGUUCCAUAGGGACAUAGUCUUCAUUCUUUACCAAUUUCAGGUUGCCACUAAUGUCUAGAGGAACUAAAGGUAUUUAGCCUCAGGGUGACAUAUGAGCUACUUUCAAAUAUUUGUAGAAUGUUAAAUAGAAGCAGUAGUAUACUUUUUCUCCAAAGUCAUAUGGGUGGGACAAAAUCUUAGUAAUCAUAGUUGUCCAGUAGACUACUUUGGAGGUUGUGACCCACCUCUACCUCUGGAGAUGUUCAAUAAAAGUGUGGAUGAUCAUUUGACAUGAAAGUCAUGUGUCAGAUAUUUCUUGGACCAGAUGGUAUG